rnacentral:rRNA from 1 species
AUUGAACGCUGGCGGCAGGCCUAACACAUGCAAGUCGAGCGGAUGAAGGGAGCUUGCUCCUGGAUUCAGCGGCGGACGGGUGAGUAAUGCCUAGGAAUCUGCCUGGUAGUGGGGGAUAACGUCCGGAAACGGGCGCUAAUACCGCAUACGUCCUGAGGGAGCAAGUGGGGGAUCUUCGGACCUCACGCUAUCAGAUGAGCCUAGGUCGGAUUAGCUAGUUGGUGGGGUAAAGGCCUACCAAGGCGACGAUCCGUAACUGGUCUGAGAGGAUGAUCAGUCACACUGGAACUGGGACACGGUCCAGACGACUACGGGGGGCAGCAGUGGGGAAUAUUGGACAAUGGGCGAAAGCAUGAUACAGCCAUGCCGCGUGUGUGAAGAAGGUCUUCGGAUUGUAAAGCACUUUAAGUUGGGAGGAAGGGCAGUAAGUUAAUACCUUGCUGUUUUGACGUUACCAACAGAAUAAGCACCGGCUAACUUCGUG